AAGAAAGAGAAGAAGAACAAAGAACAGUUGCAGGCGAUCCAUCUUUCUUUGAGUGUUUCUUUUCUCUUUCUCUUUCUCUUUCUCUUUCUCUUUC
rnacentral:ribozyme from 13 species